UUCUGCAGCCAUGCUACCUUGAACAAGCCCGAUCCCUUCUGAUCUUGGAAGCUAAGCAGGGUCAGGCCUAGUUAGUACUUGGAUGGGAGACACCUAGGAAGACCAGGUGCUAUAGGCA
rfam:Pteropus alecto contig64707, whole genome shotgun sequence.